rnacentral:rRNA from 1 species
GACGAACGCUGGCGGCGUGCUUAACACAUGCAAGUCGAACGGAAAGGCCCUGCUUUUGUGGGGUGCUCGAGUGGCGAACGGGUGAGUAACACGUGAGUAACCUGCCCUUGACUUUGGGAUAACUUCAGGAAACUGGGGCUAAUACCGGAUAGGAGCUCCUGCUGCAUGGUGGGGGUUGGAAAGUUUCGGCGGUUGGGGAUGGACUCGCGGCUUAUCAGCUUGUUGGUGGGGUAGUGGCUUACCAAGGCUUUGACGGGUAGCCGGCCUGAGAGGGUGACCGGCCACAUUGGGACUGCGAUACGGCCCAGACUCCUACGGGAGGCAGCAGUGGAGAAUAUUGCACAAUGGGCGGAAGCCUGAUGCAGCAACGCCGCGUGCGGGAUGACGGCCUUCGGGUUGUAAACCGCUUUCGCCUGAGACGAAGCGUGAGUGACGGUAAUGGGUAAAGAAGCACCGGCUAACUACGUG